GCAGACUGAGGCACCCCUCAGAGCUGAUGUCCAUAGUCAAAUCUCCUGCAGGCACAGUAACUCCAUCUCCUCUAUCUUUCUAUGAUGUCUGACGCCGCCUGUGUGGUCGAGCCGUGCCAGGGGUAACAACCUUGGUGCCGCCUGCAGCAGCAAGGCCAUCCCGAUUUGCGGUGGGCUCUGGUGAAAACCAGUGGCACCUUAGACUCUGCUCCCUGGUACAAUCCGAGUCAUCUGCCACACACGUCCAGCGGAUCCACAUGCACCGGGGUUCCUGUCUUCAGAAACGUCUUCGCUCAGUGACAUAUCCCCAUCCGGGAUCCCUGGUUCACACUGGGGACCAUUUCUACCAUAGUGUGCUCUCUGCUGACACCUCUGUCCAUGUAAUGAACUGUCCAGAGUAGAAGCAUUUUCAAAUCUAUACAACUUUCCGACACCAGUUGAUUUAAAACAAAUAGUUUUCCACCAGAGUACCCCUUAAAGACUUUGAUAAGUCUUCUCUAUUGUUCUUUUUUACUCCAGGUUGAAGAAGGCAGUUGCCGAGACUUGACUUACAACAUUUUAACUUUAAA